UUUUCACCGAUGGUCUGUUUCAAACUCCUCAGUUGCUCAGGUAGAUAGGAUGGUGGGUACUGCUAAGGCUUUGAACUUGGGAAUAACAACAGUAACUGUUGAAGAUACUAGGGUGGUUGGUCAUACGCAAGUGUCUUCUUUCUAUGUUGUCCUCCCAGAUUCCUUAUCAUUGUAUAUAUUACCUCUAUCUCUUUCUGGUGAUCAUAUAGAAGGAACUGAA
rnacentral:misc_RNA from 1 species